rnacentral:rRNA from 1 species
CGAACGGGUGAGUAACACGUGAGUAACCUGCCCCGAAGAUCGGGAUAGCCCGGGGAAACCCGGAUUAAUACCGAAUACCCUCUCUGGAUCGCAUGGUCCGACGAGGAAAUGCCUUUGUGCUUCGGGAUGGACUCGCGGCCUAUCAGCUUGUUGGUGAGGUAACGGCUCACCAAGGCAACGACGGGUAGCUGGUCUGAGAGGACGAUCAGCCACACUGGGACUGAGACACGGCCCAG